rnacentral:rRNA from 1 species
CCCGCUGAGUUUAAGCAUAUCAAUAAGCGGAGGAAAAGAACUA